CCAAUAGCGUAUAUUAAAGUUGUUGCAGUUAAAAAGCUCGUAGUUGAAUUUCGGGAUUGACGUGACGGUCGUGCCUUACGGGGUAUGAACUGUUGCUGUUGAUUUCUCACCUUCUGGAGAAACUUGAUGUCCUUAAUUGGGUGUCUUGUGGAUCCAGGACCUUUACCUUGAAAAAAUUAGAGUGUUUAAAGCAGGCAUUA
rnacentral:rRNA from 2 species